AACGCAAAUUGCACUUCUUGGUACUCCGAGGAGUAUGCUUGCUUGAGGGUUGGUCUAUAAAAAAAUCGUAAAUUUUUUUUUACGGAUCUGGGUUUUCCGAGUUUUUCUUGACUUUGGUUGCCUAAAAUUUAUCUUGACAAUGAGGUAUCAAUUAGAAAUGUUCUAUCUUACAUGUUGUGAGUUCAUUGAUAAUUAUACCAAUUGUUGCAUCGCGUUAUUCAUCUAGUACCUUUGAUUAGGUGAAAUAAUUCAAUCUUUUUAAUCCUACCUCAAGUCAAGUAAGGAUACCCGCUGAACUUAA
rnacentral:misc_RNA from 1 species